UACGUAGGGUGCGAGCGUUAAUCGGAAUUACUGGGCGUAAAGGGCGCGUAGGCGGUCUUGCAAGUCCUGUGUGAAAUCCCUCGGCUCAACUGAGGAACUGCACAGGAAACUGCUUGGCUUGAGUUCGGGAGAGGGAAGCGGAAUUCCGGGUGUAGCGGUGAAAUGCGUAGAUAUCCGGAGGAACACCGGUGGCGAAGGCGGCUUCCUGGACCGACACUGACGCUGAGGCACGAAAGCGUGGGGAGCAAACAGG
rnacentral:rRNA from 1 species